UCUCUCUCUCUCUCUCUCUCUCUCUCUCUCAAAAAUAAGUCAAUAUAUGUCAUCUUGUAUGAAUGUAUGUAUGUUGUAAAAUUGUAUUGGGAAAAGGCUAAUUGAUAUAAGUUUAAUAACUUAAGUGUGCCCAAUUCCGUUGUAUAUACUAAAUCUUGGUUUCAUGCCCAAUACACGUGUUUCUGUGGUGUAGUCGUUGUGACGGAUGGAUCGCUGUAGUUUUUACAAAGAAACCACGUGAUUUCAAGUUUUCAACCGAACGUUAUAUAGCGACACGUGGUAUACACGUCUCUGGUGCUUGCAUGAAAAAGUAAUCAAUUUGGUUAAAUGAUUCUGAAAUUUUGACGGAUCAAUUUAAAAUUUGUGAACGAGAUACUUUAAAAGUGCACAAUGUUAUCGUUAGAAAGUAUUGUACCUUUUAAACAAGAUGAACUCAACAAAGCAUGCACACAGUGAACGCUGCAAUGUGGUCAAGAUCGUUGAAGAGUUUUGAAGACUAAAACGAGAACCUGUACAUACUGUAAAGGAUGGAUUCCAACCUACGAGUAAAGUAGGGGUAGUAAUUACGACAAUUCAAACUUUAGAGCAAAAGUUAGACAGUUCAACAAUGUGUUUAUUGAAAACUAUCUGAUCAGCUGAACGAAAUGUAAUAUCAAAUUUAUUCUAUAUAACUUAUACGGUAAGUUUGUAGUAUAAAUUCAUAAUCAUAAUAGAGAAUUUGUAUUAACUGUAUUUCUAUUUUUGAUAAUUGUUGAAUAUAAAUAUAUAUAUAGUGAGGUCCUCCGUUGUGCUUUUUGCAAUGAGAGGCCGUAUUCUAUCUUUAAAGUAAAGUAAGUUCUGGUAAUUUUAAAUGGUUUUUUUUAUUAUAUUUAGUAAAAUGGAUAACGUUUACUUGAAGCAGGUUAUUUAUUUUUGGCUGUCUUUUCCUUAACAGAAAGUGUGCUCGAGGAACCCCUGUCCAAGGGAUAGGGGUUUUUUCCUGGAGAAUAAACUCUUGAACUCAACCUGGUCUUUUGGGAGUUUUACUAACCCUCUGUGGCAGGCUUGAGCACCCUGUUACAUUUUGGCGCCCAACGUAAAAAACUUAAGGAGGAGUCAGCAGUGACGAUUGUCUGAGGUAUGAACCGGACUAUAGCAAGUCUACGAACUGUAGGAGCGAUAUCCGGUGAUGACGUCAAGGUGACCUUGACAGAUAUAAUAUAGAGCGAGUUCGAUCAGCGACCGUAGUUUGGUUAGCGAUGUAAGAGGAAGCUGUAAAUGCGCAUGUCCGUGAUCGAACUCUCUAUGGUCAACAACUUUAGUCGGAAGAUGGCGGCAUUUUCAACUUUUCAUCGAAUGCUGAUUACAUUCGGUGAAAUAUUAGACGAUGACGACUUCUGGUAUUUACAAUUACACAUGCAGAGAGAAGAACUUUGCUCAACGAAAGCACUAAGGAGAGACAGUGCUCCAAAAGAAAAGGCCAACACGAUACUGUUUCACCAGACAAGCAGCUGGCAGUGUGUUUAUGGUACUUAGCCAACCAGGAAUCUAUGAGAGAAGUGGCACAUCUAUUUGGUUUAUCGAAGUCGACUGUACAUGGAAUCAUAAUGAAAGUAUGCAACGCAUUCAUGGACUUGGGGCCACGGGUGAUUGUUUGGCCUUCUCCUGUUCGACAGAGAGAAAUUGCUCACGAUGUUGAGGAAAUAUGCAAGCUUCCUGGUGUUAUCGGCUUCUUAGAUGGAUCUCAUAUCAGAUUGGCUUCAAUACUAAAUAGGGACAGAGACUUCUACAACAGGAAAGGAUUUCCUUCCAUGCAGUUACAGGUAUAGUAAUGUACAUGGUCAAGUCAUCAAUCAUUUAUGAUCACUCAUAAAUAAUUUGAACUUUAAAUAAAAUAUGUAAAGAAGACAUGGAUAAAAGACUAAAAUUACACACAUCCACUUCAUUUGGUGAUAUUUUCUACCGACAUUUAGGAUUGAAUGACGUGUACUGAAAGAGAAAAAAGCUGUGUUCACUAUCCUUGAUACCUUUGUA